UCCCUGGUGGUCCAGUGGCUAAAACUCCAAUGCAGGGGUCCUGGGUUCGAUUCCCGGCCAGGGAA
rnacentral:tRNA from 1 species